UCCCUGGUGGCUCAGAUGGUAAAGCGUCUGCCUGUAAUGCAGGAGAUCCAGGUUCAAUCCCUGGGUUGGGAA
rnacentral:tRNA from 1 species